rnacentral:lncRNA from 1 species
GAGAAGGGUCAUUCAUCCAGUGAUUUGCUCAGUCUUGACCCUAGGCCACACCCUGCCCUGAUUCAGCUGCGUGACCCAUGUGGACUCCUGCUCUCCGAAGAGGCCCAGGCUGGUGGGAGCAACGGUGGAGAAGGCAAAGCUGAGGAGUCCGAGGGUGCCCAGUGAAGGUUGGCAGUAACGUGUGUUAUGGUUUGGAGGUUUCACACAUCACUAAAUCCAAGGUGCUCGCCAGACACCUUCUUCUUGGUGCCACUAACAAAGAUCUCACCCAUAGAACGAUGCCACGAAAUUUCCUUACUGUUUAAAUUUUUAAUUUCCUAGUUACUGGAGAGCUCCUGGUCAACUUAUUUAGGAAACCCAGAUCCUCAGCACACAUCGGUUGGGGGUACAUGUAACACAACAGCCACGUCUCAUUCUUUGGAGUCACUUUGCCUCUGAGUCAUUGACUUCCACACUGCUCAGCCUCCUCACCUCAGAAGCCCAGAUGAUGCUACUCCAUUGUCACAUCCAGGCAGUGACAGCCACGUCACAAUGGCUUCCUGGCUGACAGUGAUGACAGCACCAUCAUCGGUUACACUUCCUGAUUUCAGAAUGGUUACGAUUAAAAAAGGAAAAAUAAAAAAGUGCAUCUUAGAAUCAAC